CUUUUUUUUUUUUUUUUUCUUAAAUGGUUCAAAGCAUGCUAUAUAAAAAUUUAAAGCAAGGGAAUUAGGAACACCGACGCACAAGCAAGCCGAAGCAUCCGAAGCAUUGAGCAUCCAACUAAUAUCUAACCCCACAGCCAAAGCUAUGGAAGCAUAAGCAUGAUAAUCGACCUACACAUGCAAAGCUAUCUCAAAUCUGUGUUAACCAGAUUCUGGUCACUUGAGGACACAUGGGUCCAUAAUGUGUCCGCAAAACCUUCAUCCUCUAAGCAGAAUAUAAUUAAGCAUAGGUGAUAUGGUUUACUAGUAAAGAUAGUUGAUAAUAAAGAUGACGAAGGUCCCUGUGUUUCCUCGACUUCAGGAAGUAAUGAAAAUUAGAAGUUGUCAUCUUAGAGAUAAUGUAAUCACAAGUUUGAAACAAAAGUGGGAAUGGCGAGAGAAGAAAAUGAAGAAGACCCAUCACCUUCAAAAGUCGGACAUUAUGAUGUCAUAUGAUAUUGUUUCUCAGCGCUACCUUGAUAAGGCUAAUAAGCUUCCGGAAAAAACCUCUUCGGCUAACAAAACUAUGUGCCCCAAUUUACGAAGGGGAAUUACCGUCUUUUCUAUAACUCAACAAGUCUCAAAUAAUUGUAUUGCCUACUUGACUAGCAAUCCUAUUCUUCUUUUCGUCAUCAUCGGCAUAUGACCAUUUCCAUAUCUGAAAUCCUUUUAGUUGCCACAGGACGUGACUACAGUGCCCCCCAAUCAAAGAUCCAGACUCUUUUUCAUAGCUUCGUAAACCAAAUAUGUUAUGCUUGCAGAUGGCACAACCUUGAGAAGAUUUGGGAAGAGUCCUUUGUAGAAACCUCUAUAACCUUCAUUCUGGAGUGUUCUCCAAAAUACAUCAGACAUACCCUUAUAAGCAGCAGCAGAAUUAGAACGUUGUGCUUGCAUUCUGGUUCUAAUAACCUGCAAGGGAUAAACACAUGAUGCUCCAAAUGCUGCUGAGACUGUCCCACAACCCAAUUGCACAAGAGGACCCGGUUCACUAUCAUGCAGAAUAUAUGUCUUUGACAUGUCUUUCAGCGUUUCAUAGGCAGCAAGGUCAAUGCCAGCAUAAGGUAUCAUUCCAAGAAGAGAUGGCACAAGGCCUUUAUAAAAGGCUCGAGGUCCUUCCUGAACCCAUAUAUUCUUUGUUAGAGCUCCCAGCUUCGGAGCAUUUCCACCUUCACAAACUUGCAAUCGAGUUUUCACAAGAUCUAAUGGAUAGAUAGCAGUUUGUGCCACUGCACCAGCCAUUCCACCGGCCAAAAGUCUCUCAGCAGGACCUAUAACAUCUUUGUCUCCCCCCUUAAAAUCCCCAAUGACGUUCUUCAACAAUUCAUAAGAAUAAAACUUAAUAGCGCUUUCUGGUGCUACCUUCACAAUAUUUAUUCCAUUACCUCGAAAGAAACCCAAUAAGCCAUCUUGUUUCCAAAUCUUCUUUACAGCAGAAACAAAACGAGCAUGUGUUGUCUGAACUUGCAAAAACACCUUCAAGCGAUCAAGUGGAGCAGUUGCAGUACGAGAGGCAGCUCCUGCUAUUCCCCCUGCAAUAAAAUAUUUACUCCUAUUAACAUGCUCACUGAUGCCUUCUGGAAUAACAGCUUGCUCUCCAAUAUCUACGAGGCAUACCCUUUCCCAGUAAUGGUAUAUGUUUUCAAUUGUAGCUUCAUGUGGAUAAAGCAAAAGAAAAUCUCUCCAUUCUUCAAAAGUUAUAAUUCCAUUAUUAUCCUUAUCAACAUGCUCCACAAAACGGGCAAGCUCCUCAUCAUCGAUUUCAAUCCCUGUGAAGCAGAAACAGCCUUGACAAGCGCAUCCCAUAACUCUUCAGGCAAAAUGCACCCGUUGUGUUCCACAUCAAUAGCCUGAAAAAUCCGGUACAGCUCCAGCUCUUUAUCGUCCAUAUACCUCCUAAACUCCUGAUAAUCUACCCGUCCAUCCCUAUUCGCAUCGCAAACCUUCAACAAAUCCUUAGCGUAUUUAUACUCCGCCGGAAUCUGCAGCGCCGAUAAUCCUGCCUCGAUCUGCGCGUAAUCCAAGUAUCCAGUAUUCGAGGCGUCAAAGAAAUUAAACAGACUCCGUAAUCUAACAUCCCUCUCUUCUUUGGUUUCCCGCAAUGCCAACAGGACAUGAUCCAUUGAUAUAGGACCCGAUUUCUUAACCGGGUUGCAACAACCGGAGCGGUUGGGGUUUGUAUCCAUCUCCGGCAACCCAACACGGUGCUCGACGGCGUGACCCGCCCCGGACAUGAUAAAAAUUCCCAAAUUGCGAAAACGCUAACUUUGGGUUCGGAGCACAAGCUGCAUCAAAGGGGCUAUUUUUCCCCGUUUGUUGGUAUAGAUCUCAGUGGGUUGACCAAGUAAUUAACAAGGAAACAAUUAAAACAGAAACGGGUUUCCAGUUAAGGAAAGAACCUGUUAAAAUUCGACUGGAAUCAGUGGGAGGAGAAAGAAAGGAGUAGAAGUGGUGGCUCAAGAAAAGAUGUCAAAAUGCGGAAGACGGGAGAUUGGGUUUGAAAUGCAAAGAGUGAGAAUGGGGUGGUUUCACACGACAAAAGCUUCAUUAGUCCAAGCGCCAAUGGCGGGUGAGAGAGGAAGCGUUGCCCAGAUACUAUUGAGUUCCCAGGAGCUUGAAUUGGCACGUGUAAUUGAUGAGUUUUAUGGGAAUUGACGAGUAAAUGGGGGUAUGGUCACGUAAAAGAUAGAGAAGAGUUAAACAGUAACCCAAAAUGAUGGUAGGAUUAAAUGCCCAUUCUGGCUAAUAAAACGUCUCCCAUAUGUUUGUGCAAUUGCGCGAGAGAGGCAUGAAAAGGAAAUUGCCUUGUUGGCUAGUUCUUCAAUCUCAAUAAAAG
rnacentral:misc_RNA from 1 species